AAAAAAUUCCUCUGCACUCAAUUGGAUAGACCUACAACCAAUAAGAGCAACGGAGUGUGUGACGUAUGUUAAGCGACGCAUAGUUGUUGUCAACAGAACUCAACCGUUAGCGUAGAAUAAGAAGAUGGGCGUGAACGAUUUUUUCCGGUGUUGCAAAAAAGAAUGUGCGGAUCCAAGGAGUCAUUCAACACACGAACCUCAUUUUUCAGAAAAACAAUAAAGGCGAAUGCACAUACGAUCAAGUUCUCCGUUUAGGAUUACUACUGUACAAAAUGCCAUAUAAAUUGCAACCCAUUUGUCUGUCCUGUCAGAACCUUAUAACACGUUUGGAACGCGACAUGCUUGUGUUAAAAAAAAUGGGCAGACAACGAAGGAGACCAGCCUGAAGAACCGUCUUCAUCUGAGGCAUCAGAGAAAACAUACCGGGAGCCUACUCCUUCCAAGACGCCCAGGACUCUGAAGAAGUUCUGCCCCAAUCCGUCAACUCCAACCGGUACAAAAACGCAAAUAAGCAUUACAGAGGUAAGGUGGUUAAUACAUUUCUACUUCUUAUGAUAUGACUAUGAGAAUAACCUCGAUUGCCAAGUUUCACAUGAGUUAAUAGUUAGUCAUGAUUAUUGUCCAAUGUGAUAAACACUGUGCAUUCCCACACUCCUCAUUUCAGGUUGUCACCCAUUUCCCAUCACAGACUGUUGCCAAGGUAUGUCCUCCAAAAGAUGCCUCAAUAGUGAACUGCAUCAAUAAGAAAAAUGGACAACAGCUGCAAAGUUAAUUUUGAAGCAUAAACACCUAGUUGAGGAAAUAAAGGUGCACAUCCUGGAGCUAAUAAGCAACGAAUGCAAACAUAUCUGUGAUCCAAACAACGGUUUCAUCCUGUGGAAGUCAUCUCCGAAUGAUCUGAAAGCCUUUUCAUUUACCAGCUUAGAGGCAGACCUAAAGUGUUUUUCACCAUUCCUCUUCUCAAUUCUCACAACUGUCACCAACCACUCUAACACUGCAACUUGUGCAGCAGCUUCCAUUGCUUUGAGAGGAAGAGAAGCACGCCUGUCAGCCUUUGCAUACUACCUAUGUAGUUUUCUACAUUACGGUGGGGCGAAAAAAGCAGUGUUUGAAAGACUGAGCAAAAUGGCCAUAACAACGCACCAAAAUUCUGUAGAGAAGCUGAAGGAGUUGGCACUCCUAUGUGGUGUGUCUCUAAAAAUGUUAAAGGUCCAGAAUGAAGCUUUCCUGAACUCUGAAGCGGAAGGAAACAUUGAUGUUGGUCAGAGAGUGGACACCAGCGAAGACCAAAGCACAAGUGAUCCGAAGGAGCCACUUAACAUGGAAGAGUGAGAUGACAAAUGACCAAUAUAUAGAAACACAACAAGCACAUCAAAUUCUGUGUCGUCUUGGAUGUUAUGUGUCUAUGUAUUGAUUAAUGCUACUACUACUAGUAGUAAUAAUAAAAAAUAAUAAAAAAUAAUAAUAAUCAUAAAUAUUUGUUUUUAAAUUUUUAUUACUUUUUUUCUUUUCCUGCAGAUGACAUGGCUCCGCUACCUUUCAACAGUUUAAGUGACUCUGAAGCAGCAGAGCUGGGCUUGAGCUCCUCGGCUUCUCCGAUCACCCACCCCACUCCUCCACCAACAUGUUCCAUAAUAUUUGAGAAUUUGGACUUUUUCAUGCGCGCACAUCAUCAGUCCACCCACCACAGCAAUAAAUCCAUACACUGGAUUCAUCAUGUUGCAGUCCAAGAUAGAAUCUCAGCAUAUCACCGGACUGUGACAUCCUUCAGUACGACCUCUGUAACUCACUCCCCGGACCAGAAAUCCAAGACUAUAUGCGACGUGAGUUCAUUGUUCUUGCAAGCCGCAUCCUUACAGAGUACCUGUCUGUUUUUAAACCCUUCAAGAUAUUAGUGGUACACCACAUGCCACAUCAAUAUACAGAGGACAUGGCUAAGUGCGCCACUGAUGUACCCUCUGGGACUGCUCUUCAAGGAUGAAAACAAAACGUCAGAUUUGUGGACACACUUCACCACCUUCAGAAAGAGUAUGUGCCAAAGGGACCAGACGGGUUGUCAAAUGUAUUAGUCGGAGGUAACCGGCUGACUGAGGGGAACUGCAGAAACAUACAGUGGGCCUUCUCAGAUGGUGCUACAAAGGAAGACCGACUGGAAGGUCUCAUCUUUAAGUUUGAAGACUGGCAUGCCAUCAGAAACCUCUUUGAAAUCUAUCAUCGGAUUUUCUAUGAUGGUGCAUCCUUAAAAGACCAUGGCACACAUCUUGCCAACAUAACGAAGUUGAGGUACAACGUCUGCUAUUUGCAAUCCCAUGAAUACAUACAUUGUACAAUUAUUACUGUUGUUUUAACCGUCCACUUUGUCAUCACAUUAUGCUUGUCUUUACAGUCUAAACAAUAUUGUUGUUAACUACAGUGAUUAUAAGUACGCUGUGUUGACCAUGCUUUCCACAGCUCUUUCACAGAAAUCCAGUCUGGAUAUUUCAUGAAUUGGGUUGUUAUGGGAUGGGGAACACUGUACUGCUAUCAUGAAAGCAGCUGUGCUGUUCUCUGUAUGGUAUGUUUUCAACGUAAUGCAUGUUUUCAUUAACUGUGGGUGGGUAUUUGAGGCUUUUCAAGAUAGUUAAUGGUUAGUUGGUUAGCUUUAGCAGUGCUAAAGAGCACACUAGACGCACGAUAUUCUUAUUGUACCUAUUGUACCUGCGAAAGGCUGUUUUUAACACAUUAACAUAUGAGCAUGCGGGCGUGUGUGUGUGCGCGUGCGUGUGUGUGAGCGAAGUAGUGGUAGCAUAGAGGUUAAGGACCUGUUCGGCAUGCAAAAAAGUUGUGGGUUCAAUGCCCUUAGUAAUUACCCUUCAACCAUUCACUAAACUAUGUAUUUCUGUCACAUAGGUGCAGCAAUGCUAAACAAGGUCCUCAUGCAGCUUACAAUGCCUAUAAGGAAUUUGUGCAUAAGGACACCACUGCACUCUUCCUAGCUGCUGCAAUGGAACUCUUUGGGUUGCAGGAUGUGACAGAAAUUCCAGAUGGAUUUGUCCCGCUGGAUGUUGACAACGGAUUGCCACAACUGAAGAGGAGCUGGCUGCAUGAGAAGGUUGGGCAGGUUGUGGACACCUUUGUCAUGAUGACGGGCGUGACAGAAGCUGCAACUCAAAGGCAGGCUACGACACAGUAGAGGCAGCAGUUUCCAUGUCGUGCAGACGGGUGUGGCUAUAUGUAUGUAUACGCCAAGGCAAGGGAAACACAUGAGAAGAAGAAGCAUUGUCUUGUGGCUCCAUCAGACUCUUCUUCAGAAAAUGUAAGUCCGACGAAACAAGACCACCAAUAACAUCACGCAGAAGCCAGACUUGGCUUUGGGUUUUUCCUGCUAGACAUGCAGGAUGCAGUGAGGAAAGGGGAUGGUGAAAGGCUGAUGAGACUGUACAAAGUUGCCUUGCUUUUCUACAAAGCGUACGGGCACAGCCAGUAUGCCUAUAGCACCUUCCUUCUGACACUGCAGAUAAAUGUCACUCUGUCCCCACGCAUGGCACAAGGUGUGACAUGGAACAGAUUUUGGAAUGGCAGAGGGAUAAAGGGGAAAAAUAUUCCACUUGACCUCCACCUGGAACAUCUAAACAAUUUUCUCAAAACAUUUAUGAGAGGCUUGGGACCAAACAUGUCAGAAAUGUCAGCAGCCAGAAUCAGUAGGUCCAUUGGCAUCGUCAAGGACCUAAUGGACAAAACGGACACAGAGCUCGAGCUGACAAGGCCGACUGGCAUUCAUCAUGUGGCCCGAGAACAGGAGGACGUUUUAACACUGGUCAAUGUUUUCAGGGAGACACAACUUUUCAAAAAUCACCCAGGCAGGCAGUAUCAUGCAUUCCCAAAUUUCCAGAGAAACUUAUUGGCAAAGCUAAAUUACCAGGAGUUAUGGAGGUGGAUGAAGUCCAAAAUAAUGGACUGGCGAAAUGUGCCUAUUUAAAUAGCAAUGUAAAUGGGAAAUGUAAAAUGGUGAUAGUAAUUUGUAAAUAGUGUUUUCAUAAAUUACAAUGUAAAUAAUUGAUUUUUAAUAUAAUAGUUUAUAAUAGUAGCAUCCACAUUCUUGAAACCUUUAUUUUUGUGUGUUUUCUUAUUGGUUGUAUGUUCAAAGUUCAGAGUAUAUCUUCAAACAUUAACUAUUAAGUGUAGAUAUUAAAAAUCUUUAUUGACA